GGCGGGUCCUGGGGCUGUGGAGAUGGACAGUGAGUGGGAUCCGGUCACUCCUCAGAGCGGCCUUGGCAUUGUAAACGUCUCGGUGCCUCUCUCCCUGCAGUUUUUCGUGAUUUUAACGAACUGUGCUUCUUUCAUGAAUCUAAAUUUCUGCAUAUAUCUCGCCAAGCGCCGUCUUAAAGCUUAACGUGCGAGCCCUGCCGGAAACGGCGGCUUUGUGUGGAAGUUGGCACCUGAGAUGAGAGCGGGACGAAGCGUUAAAGGGCCGCGAAGACUUAACUCCUCGCUUUUUAAAUUAAAAGAAAAAAAAAAGAAAAAGGAACCGUCCCAGAAAGAGGCGGGUGACGCCCCAGGACACAUGGCAAAUAAGUGACUGAGCUGAGAACCCAGGGCACCAAGCUCCCAGUUUCCCGAUUCAGAUUUGAUCCUGUUACAUUUACCAACAUUAUCACCUUUCCCUUGCUUGAACCCUUGCGGCUUUCUUCUGUAGAUGGACAAGAUCCUUUUAGUUGGUAUUUGGAGACAUCUAGUGAAAGAAUAUGAAAGCCAAGUUCCAGUCGGCUGAGAUCUGAUAGUUCGUGGGAUUAAAAUGUGAGCCUGAUUAGAGUUUACAGCUAAGAUCCUUGGCCUUGGAUCUGAAAGUUGCCGGAGCUUGCGGGAUCUUAGUUCCCCGACCAGGGAUUGAACCUGGGCCCUCAGCAGUGAAAGCGCGGAGUCCUAACCACUGGACUGCCAGGGAAUUCAACCUCAGUUACUGGGACACGGGUUCGAUCCCUGGUCUGGGAAGAUCCCACAUGCCGCGGAGCAACUAAGCCCUUGCGCCACAACUACUGAGCCUGCGCUCUAGAGCCCGCGAGCCACAACUACUGAGCCCACGUGCCACAUCUACUGAAGCCCACACACCUAGAGCCCGUGCUCCGCAACAAGAGAAGCCACUGCAGUGAGAAGCCUGUGCUCUGCAACGAAGAGUAACCCCCGCUCGCCGCAACUAGAGAAAGCCCAUGCGCAGCAAUGAAGACCCAACGCAGCCAAAC